UCUAGAUGUGGUGGUAGACUCUGCGUGGUA
rnacentral:piRNA from 1 species